UACGUAGGGUGCAGGCGUUAAUCGGAAUUACUGGGCGUAAAGCGUGCGCAGGCGGUCUGCUAAGAGAGGUGUGAAAACUCGAGGCUUAACCUCGAGAUGUCAUCGGAAACCAUCUGGCUAGAGUCCGGAAGAGGAGAGUGGAAUUCCUGGUGUAGCGGUGAAAUGCGCAGAUAUCAGGAAGAACACCAAUGGCGAAAGCAGCUCUCUGGGACGGUACUGACGCUGAGACGCGAAAGCGUGGGGAGCGAACAGG
rnacentral:rRNA from 1 species